rnacentral:lncRNA from 1 species
GGUAAUAUGGUAGAGGUGUGGAUGUUAGUCCACAUGGAUGGAGCACAAGCUGGGAUAUUGCCAAGACUGCGGGCCGUCAGGAAUAUCGGUUGUUAGGACUGUUAAUCCUUGUCGACACGUGUUGAUUGUUCUCCUCGGCUGAUGGCUCCUCGGUCGGGACCGUAGUCACUCACCUUGAUUGAUUGGCUACUCAGCUAGGGCCAGAGUUAUUAGCCUUGGUUCAUGUCCGAGAUCAAGAAGGAAGGUCUGGCUCGAGGUCGAGGUGUCCAAUAUUUUCUCCAACACUUACCUCCUACUUUCGAGGCGGAGCUGCAUCUCAACGACAGAAGUCAUGUCGUCAACUCGAUUGAGGACAGCACCCUUAUUGGGGGUAUUAA